UACGGGGGAGCAAGCGUUGUUCGGAUUUACUGGGCGUAAAGGGCGCGUAGGCGGCCACCGCAAGUCAGUUGUGAAAUCUCCGAGCUUAACUCGGAAAGGUCAACUGAUACUGUGCGGCUAGAGUGCGGAAGGGGCAACUGGAAUUCUUGGUGUAGCGGUGAAAUGCGUAGAUAAUCAGGAGGAACACCGAUGGCGAAGGCAGGUCUCUGGGCCACUACUGACGCUGAGAAGCGAAAGCAUGGGGAGCGAACAGG
rnacentral:rRNA from 1 species